GAUGAGUUCUCACUGAUUGGCACUCAAGUUAAUAGAUACGUGACAAAAUGGCUGAUUGUUCAGCACUCUUCCAUGUGGUGUUUGUCUGCAAUAUUGUGAUUUUACUCUUCAGUGGGGUCCUGAACAUAAUUUUAUGUGACAGACUGAGGAGAAGAAAAUGUGAACUGUGUGCAGCACAUCACAGGAGGCUUCACCUGGCUGUCCCUCCUCAACAAAACUCUGUGUCUGAUGAUCAAGAGAGUGAGGUGAACUAUACCAUGCUGCAAUUCCCUGAAGACAACACAAAAACAGAGAGCUCAGAGAAGAGCAGAAAUGACACUGUCUAUUCCAGUCUUAAAUGCCAAAUCUCAAACAUCACUGAGGAAAACUAAAUCAGGAUUUUCAGAGCUCCACAGUGCAGAUUUCCAGCAGGACACUGGAUCUCUCCCUCCGCAGAAGGAUCAUCACCACUGACCCAGAACCAAUGACCAGCCAUAAAGCGCAGAUCAGUCCACACAUAAACUGUCUGGGAUGUUAUAGUAUAAUUUAUCACCUCUUCCAUAAUUGUCUCAGAACUUAGACUUGCCAGAUCAGUGUACUCUUUUCUGCAAUAGUCCAGGGCUUCAUCCCACGUCUUAUUCUGAUGAACCAAAACUGGGCUGAAGACCUUCAUACAGUAAAAAGAUAGAGUCUCAGAGCAUGGAAUGUUGUGCAGUUUAGAAGUGGAUAUUUUUAACCUGCCACAAUUUUCAGAAUAAUCAUCUGGUUGUUCGCUAUCCCAGUUGUCAAUUGGUUGCCUCUCACCUCCAGACCAAAUCCAUUUUUCUGGGUUGUUAGAACUUCUGUAUAGUCCAGCCCAUUUAAAAUGAUACACAGAAUCUGUAUAAACGCAAAACUUUUCUGCCUCUCCUUUAUUGAUGGUGGAAAGGUCGUCGUAGUAUUUUCUGCAGUAUUUCUGUUCAUCAUUCAGUCAUUUUUUUCCCCACAAAAUAAUGGAUUCUAUAGGCACUGAGGUACAGUCCAAAAAGACUCAAAAGUAAGAACACAUUGACUGCAGCCUUCAUUUCUGUAUGGACGAUUUACACAGUAAUGCCUAAGUGUGCACUCAACUACGAUGAUAUUAUGGCAUCUCUUAAAGAUUUUUAAUAAGAGACCAAUAAAAAAGCUGUAAGGGAACUGGCCAAUCAGAAGGUCUCACCCUUGAAGUAUUUGUGUAGCAAAUGUUUAAAUAAAUCAUGCAUCAUUGCAAAUAUUUUGAUAGUAAAGAAAACAGGUCAUGCACGUCAGACAAAGUAAAAAAAUAAAAUAAAAUAAAUAAUAAAAAAGCAAAGUUAAGUUAAGAGCACAACAUUCUGAUUUGACAUAAUAAUCAAUGAAACAAAUAAACAAAUAAAUAAAUAAAUAUAUUAUUAUGUAAUAUUUUCUAAGAAUGGGAAUUGUAGGGAAUUUAAUAGUUACAAUUCUGGUUCAUUGGUGGUUCCAUUAACACUUGUUUUACAUGGUAAAGAAAGAAAUACAUUUAGAAUAAAGCAAUGAAAUUAUUAUUACAUUGACAGUCCUCAGCAGUUUUUUUUUUUUUUUUUUUUUUUUUUAGAAAUAAAUGCAGUUGUUUCAAAAAGUGUUUACAUAGACUUUUAAUGACUUGACAACAGUUCUCGGUUCAUUUCGGACAUGACUCUGGAUUCACUAAAAAGAACCGGCUCAUGAGUUGCUCG